UGGGGAAUAUUGGACAAUGGGCGCAAGCCUGAUCCAGCCAUGCCGCGUGUGUGAAGAAGGCCUUUUGGUUGUAAAGCACUUUAAGCGAGGAGGAGGCUACCUGUAUUAAAUACUAUAGGAUAGUGGACGUUACUCGCAGAAUAAGCACCGGCUAACUCUGUGCCAGCAGCCGCGGUAAUACAGAGGGUGCGAGCGUUAAUCGGAAUUACUGGGCGUAAAGCGCGCGUAGGCAGUUUGUUAAGUCGGAUGUGAAAUCCCCGGGCUCAACCUGGGAAUUGCAUUCGAUACUGGCAAGCUAGAGUAUGGGAGAGGAAGGUAGAAUUCCAGGUGUAGCGGUGAAAUGCGUAGAGAUCUGGAGGAAUACCGAUGGCGAAGGCAGCCUUCUGGCCUAAUACUGACGCUGAGGUGCG
rnacentral:rRNA from 1 species